rnacentral:rRNA from 1 species
GAUGAACGCUGGCGGCGUGCCUAAUACAUGCCAGUCGAGCGAACGGACGAGAAGCUUGCUUCUCUGAUGUUAGCGGCGGACGGGUGAGUAACACGUGGAUAACCUACCUAUAAGACUGGGAUAACUUCGGGAAACCGGAGCUAAUACCGGAUAAUAUUUUGAACCGCAUGGUUCAAAAGUGAAAGACGGUCUUGCUGUCACUUAUAGAUGGAUCCGCGCUGCAUUAGCUAGUUGGUAAGGUAACGGCUUACCAAGGCAACAAUGCAUAGCCGACCUGAGAGGGUGAUCGGCCACACUGGAACUGAGACACGGUCCAGACUCCUACGGGAGGCAGCAGUAGGGAAUCUUCCGCAAUGGGCGAAAGCCUGACGGAGCAACGCCGCGUGAGUGAUGAAGGUCUUCGGAUCGUAAAACUCUGUUAUUAGGGAAGAACAUAUGUGUAAGUAACUGUGCACAUCUUGACGGUACCUAAUCAGAAAGCCACGGCUAACUACGUG